CAAUAGCGUAUAUUAAAGUUGUUGCGGUUAAAAAGCUCGUAGUUGGAUUUCUGCUGAGGACGAUCGGUCCGCCCACUGGGUGAGUAUCUGGCUCGGCCUUGGCAUCUUCUUGGAGAACGUUGCUGCACUUGACUGUGUGGUGCGGUAUCCAGGACUUUUACUUUGAGGAAAUUAGAGUGUUUCAAGCAGGCGCACGCCUUGAAUACAUUAGCAUGGAAUAAUAAGAUAGGACCUUAGUUCUAUUUUGUUGGUUUCUAGAGCUGAGGUAAUGAUUAAUAGGGAUAGUUGGGGGCAUUCGUAUUUAACCGUCAGAGGUGAAAUUCUUGGAUUUGUUAAAGACGGACUACUGCGAAAGCAUUUGCCAAGGAUGUUUUCAUUGA
rnacentral:rRNA from 1 species